CGUGGCCGUAGACCCGAAACCAGGUGAUCUACCCAUGUCCAGGGUGAAGUUCAGGUAACACUGAAUGGAGGCCCGAACCCACGCACGUUGAAAAGUGCGGGGAUGAGGUGUGGGUAGGGGUGAAAUGCCAAUCGAACCUGGAGAUAGCUGGUUCUCUCCGAAAUAGCUUUAGGGCUAGCCUCAAGGUAAGAGUCUUGGAGGUAGAGCACUGAUUGGACUAGGGGCCCCUACCGGGUUACCGAAUUCAGUCAAACUCCGAAUGCCAAUGACUUAUCCUUGGGAGUCAGACUGCGAGUGAUAAGAUCCGUAGUCGAAAGGGAAA
rnacentral:rRNA from 1 species